rnacentral:rRNA from 1 species
UACGGGGGGAGCAAGCGUUGUUCGGAUUUACUGGGCGUAAAGGGCGCGUAGGCGGCCAGCACAAGUCAGUUGUGAAAUCUCCGGGCUUAACUCGGAAAGGUCAACUGAUACUGUGCGGCUAGAGUGCAGAAGGGGCAACUGGAAUUCUCGGUGUAGCGGUGAAAUGCGUAGAUAUCGAGAGGAACACCUGCGGCGAAGGCGGGUUGCUGGGCUGACACUGACGCUGAGGAGCGAAAGUGUGGGGAGCGAACAGG